CCAAGGUCUAUAAUGCGCGGUCGUUUGUAACAUCGCAUUGAUUUAAAGCUUAAAUUAAAAAUCUCACACACCUCUUCGUAUAAACGAGGCAACCCCAGCAACACCAACUUUUCCACGCGUCUCCCUUGAUGAUCUCCUUAAACAUUGUACGGAAAAGAACCCCAACAUGUGCCAAGCAACCGGGCUUAAAGAUCAUAUAUAGGCUAGUGGUGCGCAUCUGCCACGGAACCUAUUGGCAAAUGAGUUUUUCACGAUGCCUGGCGACUGCAAGGAGUGGUUUCGCUUUGGGAAACCGGGGCUGUGGUCACUUGCAGCGCGGACACUGUCCGUCUUUCACCUAUUUAGCCCGAGCCAUUUUCAUUAGCGCGAGGCUGUCUGCGAGCACAACAGGGACGGUUGUAAUCAGCAGCCAUAAACUGUGAAGUGGGAGAACCUAAACGUGACGUCAAUGCCUAGUAACUGACGCAGCCCUGAGAGAGAGAGAGAGAGAUUCUGCAAGCGUUAAUAUCAUCUUUUGUAUACUGCUCUAAAGACAAAAUAUAUUCCGCUCGCAGUGCGACUGAUUACGAUUGUUUGCGCGCGCGGGUCUGUCUGUGUGUCUCAGUGUGAGUGUGUGCGUGCGUGCGUGCGUGCGUAUGUUUUUUUAUGGGCUGCGAAUCCGUCCCGAGUUUCCAAGCUAAAGUUGCAUGGAUACACGCCGCGUAAGACGCGUAUAAUAAAGAGGAUGGUGUGCAACAUAAAGGAGCAAGGAGAGCGAGACCAACUUGUGCUGAGAAAGGGAACAUUUAAGAAAUAUUUUGCCCAUAAGAGAGAGGGGCACUGAAGCAGUUCGUUUGAAAAAAAAAAUGGAAAAGAAAAAAAAAAUCACUGCAGCGAUGCAUCGGAGGCGAUUCAGAUGGAGUUGGCGAGGCAAAAUUAAUGUACAUUACAUGCACUCCACGUAACGCUCCUGAGCGAUGUCUUUGUGAGUGUGUUUUUUUUUCUUACUGGUCGCUAAAAAUAGCAUCAGUGUUUGAUCGUGGUCCAGAAAUAGGCAGAGGGUAUCACUUGUAUAAAAAGGACUGCGAUUCUGAGAAAACUUGGACAUGUUGCUAAGGAUAGAUAUGAAUCAAGGGCAGUAUUUGAUUUUCAUCUUGCUUGUUGUUUUUGUCACGUAUGAUGGUUUUAUACUCAUAUCUGUGUUUCCCUGCUUUCAGCCAGGGCUUCCUGUACUGAACAGGACAGAACUUGAGGCAUCCAUCGUGUCAAGGACGAGGGUGAAAUGAACGAUCCCAGACGGUGUUGCUCGUGACGUCACCGGCGUCAAAAUCUGCUGAUGAUUGGAGGUGUAUGCAAAAGUGAGAUGUGAAGCAAACUGACUGUGUUCCUCGUGGAAGGAGAGGGACGGCUGACAGGCAUGGAAGUUGAUGGAGGAAAAAGGAGGGGUUUACAAGGAUAAAAAUCUGGGAUAACGUUACCUUGUAUCCUGCACACAAGACCAACGUCAACCCAACGUCUGUUAGACUGCUGUACACCUGUAAAUGGAUAUACAGCAAGUUGAUUACUUUGUAGGAACAACAUAACAUCGUCAGGUAUUUGCAAUAUCUGUCUGUAAACUACUUGGGUUUAAUAAAUGAACCGGGCUGCUUGCGUUGUCACGUGCACAGACGUCUGACACGCAUGAGCUCUGGGACGUAAGGAAAUAUGAAAGUGAUGUAGUACAUAUUUGAGCUUUAAAAAUAAUUGUCUUGCACAUAAAACCAUGUAUAGAUUUGUUGUAAUUAUUUACCUUAAUAAGUGAAACUGAGAUGCGUAUGAACGCUUGUGUUGAGUUGUGUUGCUUUAAUUCUCAAAGACGUGAAGGCAAACACAUACUGAUUUAAUCUUAUUUUCUCUAAUUAAAUUAUAGCCUAUAAGUAGCUUCAAAUGGAUUUGUUGUGACUGUGAUAAUAAGAACGCGUGCGUAACGCGAGCGUCUGCGUCUGUAGACUUGUGUGAAAAUUACAGGCGCGAGUUUCUUUAGCUUCUGUUGCAUUAUAAUUGUUAGGGUUACAUAUUUGUGAGAUCUUGUUUAACAUGUUGAAUGAACAUGUCAGGCGUUUGUCCACUGCACGCUCUGCUGCUGCUGGCGUGUCACUCCCACGGCCCAAAAGAGCUUAGGACUCAAAUAAUGAUGGGUUUUUAUUAGUUCUUUCGCUAAAUAUGCUUAUUAUAUCGUAUAUAUGUAAAAAGGUUUCAUAAUUUUUGUUUAGGGAGCAUUUUGAACACAGUAAAUGUCAAUUAUGACUUGUUGGUGUUAUCAAAGGGGCAAAUGGGUUGUGUCCUGCAGAAAGUGGGGGGAAAUAAAAAAAUUAAAAAAUAAAGAUUAUAGGCUUCGAGUUAUUCUUAAAAUGUCUGUGGUAGAUCAGUGAGUGUCGAGGACUGAAAGCUGGAAUAUAUCAUGUGUUGGGCUAUGUGAGAGGAAACGUGUGUGUAUGUUUGUGUGUGUGUGUGUGUGUGUAUGUGUGUGUGUGUUAGAAGAACGAGACAGAGAGAGAGAGAGUCUGAUUUCGAAAUUGUAUGUUUUAAGGUUUGUCUAACCAAAAUAUAGUUAAGUAAAAUAUAUAGAAUUUGCAUCAGUUAUUUUUUGUAGUAUAAUAAUAAAAACAACUGAUAAUGCACUAUGUAGCCUAUUGGAUUGUUUGUGCCUUACUUGACUUUUAUUUGUAUUGCUUCAUAAUUAUAGUAUUUUCUGCUUUGCUGUUACUGUAUAUCAUUCAACCCAAAUGUGCUUAACAGUGUGAGCUGAAUUGAGUAAAAUGAGUCAAGUGUGUUUGCUUCAGUGUGGAUGACAUAAGAGUUCUGCAUUUCUGAGUAUUUGAAUGUCAUUUCUGUAUAGUGCGCAGAGACAAAUGCCUUAACUGUUCGACCCGGACUAUCUGUUUUGCUAUUUCAUUACAUGAAACCAUCUGUACAUGUGGUGUGAGAAAUAUAUGAUGUGAAUAUGUUGCAAAAUCUAAAAGCUUUUGUCGUCCACGUGACAAAGUUAUGAAUCACGUAUCGUGUAAUGAAACUUUGCUUUCUGUAUUCUCAUGUCAGAGAAAAUAAAAAAUU